rnacentral:rRNA from 1 species
AGAGUUUGAUCAUGGCUCAGAUUGAACGCUGGCGGCAGGCCUAACACAUGCAAGUCGAACGGUAGCACAGAGAGCUUGCUCUCGGGUGACGAGUGGCGGACGGGUGAGUAAUGUCUGGGAAACUGCCUGAUGGAGGGGGAUAACUACUGGAAACGGUGGCUAAUACCGCAUAACGUCGCAAGACCAAAGAGGGGGACCUUCGGGCCUCUUGCCAUCAGAUGUGCCCAGAUGGGAUUAGCUAGUUGGUGAGGUAACGGCUCACCAAGGCGACGAUCCCUAGCUGGUCUGAGAGGAUGACCAGCCACACUGGAACUGAGACACGGUCCAGACUCCUACGGGAGGCAGCAGUGGGGAAUAUUGCACAAUGGGCGCAAGCCUGAUGCAGCCAUGCCGCGUGUAUGAAGAAGGCCUUCGGGUUGUAAAGUACUUUCAGCGGGGAGGAAGGUGUUGUGGUUAAUAACCGCAGCAAUUGACGUUACCCGCAGAAGAAGCACCGGCUAACUCCGUGCCAGCAGCCGCGGUAAUACGGAGGGUGCAAGCGUUAAUCGGAAUUACUGGGCGUAAAGCGCACGCAGGCGGUCUGUCAAGUCGGAUGUGAAAUCCCCGGGCUCAACCUGGGAACUGCAUUCGAAACUGGCAGGCUUGAGUCUUGUAGAGGGGGGUAGAAUUCCAGGUGUAGCGGUGAAAUGCGUAGAGAUCUGGAGGAAUACCGGUGGCGAAGGCGGCCCCCUGGACAAAGACUGACGCUCAGGUGCGAAAGCGUGGGGAGCAAACAGGAUUAGAUACCCUGGUAGUCCACGCCGUAAACGAUGUCUACUUGGAGGUUGUGCCCUUGAGGCGUGGCUUCCGGAGCUAACGCGUUAAGUAGACCGCCUGGGGAGUACGGCCGCAAGGUUAAAACUCAAAUGAAUUGACGGGGGCCCGCACAAGCGGUGGAGCAUGUGGUUUAAUUCGAUGCAACGCGAAGAACCUUACCUGGUCUUGACAUCCACAGAACUUUCCAGAGAUGGAUUGGUGCCUUCGGGAACUGUGAGACAGGUGCUGCAUGGCUGUCGUCAGCUCGUGUUGUGAAAUGUUGGGUUAAGUCCCGCAACGAGCGCAACCCUUAUCCUUUGUUGCCAGCGGUCCGGCCGGGAACUCAAAGGAGACUGCCAGUGAUAAACUGGAGGAAGGUGGGGAUGACGUCAAGUCAUCAUGGCCCUUACGACCAGGGCUACACACGUGCUACAAUGGCGCAUACAAAGAGAAGCGACCUCGCGAGAGCAAGCGGACCUCAUAAAGUGCGUCGUAGUCCGGAUUGGAGUCUGCAACUCGACUCCAUGAAGUCGGAAUCGCUAGUAAUCGUGGAUCAGAAUGCCACGGUGAAUACGUUCCCGGGCCUUGUACACACCGCCCGUCACACCAUGGGAGUGGGUUGCAAAAGAAGUAGGUAGCUUAACCUUCGGGAGGGCGCUUACCACUUUGUGAUUCAUGACUGGGGUGAAGUCGUAACAAGGUAACCGUAGGGGAACCUGCGGUUGGAUCACCU